CCUACGGGGCGCAGCAGUAGGGAAUAUUGCUCAAUGGGGGAAACCCUGAAGCAGCAACGCCGCGUGAAGGAUGAUGGUUUUAGGAUUGUAAACUCCUUUUGUGAGAGAAGAUAAUGACGGUAUCUCACGAAUAAGCACCUGCUAACUCCGUGCCAGCAGCCGCGGUAAUACGGAGGGUGCAAGCGUUACUAGGAAUCACUGGGCGUAAGGAGUGCGCAUGCGGGCUUGUAAGUCAGAUGUGAAAUCCUGUAGCUGAAGUACAGAACUGCAUUUGGAACUAUGAGUCUAGAGUGCGGGUGAGGUAGGUGGAAUUCUUGGUGUAGGGGUAAAAUCCGUAGAUAUCAAGCGGAAUACUCAUUGCGAAGGCGACCUACUGGAACAUUACUGACGCUCAUGCACGAAAGCGUGGGGAGCAAACAGGAUUAGAUACCCGGGUAGUC
rnacentral:rRNA from 1 species